rnacentral:rRNA from 1 species
GACGAACGCUGGCGGCGUGCUUAACACAUGCAAGUCGAACGAUGAAGCUAGAGCUUGCUCUGGUGGAUUAGUGGCGAACGGGUGAGUAACACGUGAGUAACCUGCCCCGAACUCUGGGAUAACUGCUGGAAACGGUAGCUAAUACCGGAUAUGACCAAUGAAGGCAUCUUCUGUUGGUGGAAAGAAUUUCGGUUCGGGAUGGACUCGCGGCCUAUCAGCUUGUUGGGAGGUAACGGCUCACCAAGGCGACGACGGGUAGCCGGCCUGAGAGGGUGAUCGGCCACACUGGGACUGAGACACGGCCCAGACUCCUACGGGAGGCAGCAGUGGGGAAUAUUGCACAAUGGGCGCAAGCCUGAUGCAGCAACGCCGCGUGAGGGACGACGGCCUUCGGGUUGUAAACCUCUUUUAGUAGGGAAGAAGCGAAAGUGACGGUACCUGCAGAAAAAGCACCGGCUAACUACGUGCCAGCCGCCGUAGUAA